rnacentral:rRNA from 1 species
AGAGUUUGAUCCUGGCUCAGGAUGAACGCUAGCGACAGGCCUAACACAUGCAAGUCGAGGGGCAUCAUGGUAUCAGCAAGCUGAUACCGAUGGCGACCGGCGCACGGGUGAGUAACGCGUAUGUAAUCUACCUGUAACAGAGGGAUAACCCGGAGAAAUCCGGCCUAAUACCUCAUAAUACAUAUUAUUCGCAUGAGUUUUAUGUUAAAGAAAUUCGGUUACAGAUGAACAUGCGUUCCAUUAGCUAGUUGGCGGGGUAACGGCCCACCAAGGCGACGAUGGAUAGGGGUUCUGAGAGGAAGGUCCCCCACACUGGUACUGAGACACGGACCAGACUCCUACGGGAGGCAGCAGUGAGGAAUAUUGGUCAAUGGGCGAGAGCCUGAACCAGCCAAGUCGCGUGGAGGAAGACUGCCCUACGGGUUGUAAACUCCUUUUACCUGGGAAUAACGGGCGUUACGAGUAAUGCAGUGCAAGUACCAGGAGAAUAAGCAUCGGCUAAUUCCGUGCCAGCAGCCGCGGUAAUACGGAAGAUGCGAGCGUUAUCCGGAUUUAUUGGGUUUAAAGGGUGCGUAGGCGGAAGAAUAAGUCAGCGGUGAAAUGCUUCAGCUUAACUGGAGAAUUGCCGAUGAAACUGUUUUUCUAGAGUAUAAAAGAGGUAUGCGGAAUGCGUGGUGUAGCGGUGAAAUGCAUAGAUAUCACGCAGAACCCCGAUUGCGAAGGCAGCAUACUGGGCUAUAACUGACGCUGAAGCACGAAAGCGUGGGUAUCGAACAGGAUUAGAUACCCUGGUAGUCCACGCCGUAAACGAUGAAUACUAACUGUUUGCGAUAUAAUGUAAGCGGUACAGCGAAAGCGUUAAGUAUUCCACCUGGGGAGUACGCCGGCAACGGUGAAACUCAAAGGAAUUGACGGGGGCCCGCAC